CGUUUAUUUUUAUCUUGACAUUUUUUGUCAACACAACCAAACCACUAACUAUAUCUCCCUACACUAUG
rnacentral:tRNA from 1 species